rnacentral:tRNA from 1 species
GCCAGUGUGGCUCAGUGAACAGAGCAUUCAUCCAUGGACUGAAGGGUCCUGGGUUCAAUUCCGAUCAAUGGCA